rnacentral:rRNA from 1 species
UACGGAGGCAGCAGUGGGGAAUAUUGCACAAUGGGCGCAAGCCUGAUGCAGCCAUGCCGCGUGUAUGAAGAAGGCCUUCGGGUUGUAAAGUACUUUCAGUCGUGAGGAAGGUGUUAAGGUUAAUAACCUUAGCAAUUGACGUUAGCGACAGAAGAAGCACCGGCUAACUCCGUGCCAGCAGCCGCGGUAAUACGGAGGGUGCGAGCGUUAAUCGGAAUUACUGGGCGUAAAGGGCACGCAGGCGGUUAAUUAAGUUGGAUGUGAAAUCCCCGGGCUUAACCUGGGAAUGGCAUUCAAGACUGGUUAGCUAGAGUCUUGUAGAGGGGGUAGAAUUCCAUGUGUAGCGGUGAAAUGCGUAGAGAUGUGGAGGAAUACCGGUGGCGAAGGCGGCCCCUGGACAAAGACUGACGCUCAUGUGCGAAAGCGUGGGGAGCGAAAC